rnacentral:rRNA from 1 species
AUUGAACGCUGGCGGCAUGCUUUACACAUGCAAGUCGAACGGUAACAGGCCGCAAGGUGCUGACGAGUGGCGAACGGGUGAGUAAUGCAUCGGAACGUGCCCAGUCGUGGGGGAUAACGCAGCGAAAGCUGUGCUAAUACCGCAUACGAUCUAUGGAUGAAAGCGGGGGACCGUAAGGCCUCGCGCGAUUGGAGCGGCCGAUGUCAGAUUAGGUAGUUGGUGGGGUAAAGGCCUACCAACCCGACGAUCUGUAGCUGGUCUGAGAGGACGACCAGCCACACGGGGACUGAGCAACGGCCCAGACUCCUACGGGAGGCAGCAGUGGGGAAUUUUGGACAAUGGGCGCAAGCCUGAUCCAGCAAUACCGCGUGCAGGAAGAAGGCCUUCGGGUUGUAAACUGCUUUUGUACGGAACGAAACGGUCUGGGUUAAUACCCUGGGCUAAUGACGGUACCGUAAGAAUAAGCACCGGCUAACUACGUGCCAGCCGCCGCCGUAAGAC